rfam:Lactobacillus johnsonii NCC 533, complete genome.
GGCAACUUAGCUCAGUAGGUAGAGCGUUAGAGUGAAGUUCUAAGUCGUCGGUGGUUCGAUCCCAUCAGUUACCA